UACGGAGGGUGCAAGCGUUAAUCGGAAUUACUGGGCGUAAAGCGUGCGCAGGCGGUUUGUUAAGUCCGUUGUGAAAGCCCCGAGCUCAACUUGGGAAUUGCAGUGGAUACUGGCGGGCUGGAGUACGGUAGAGGAAGGUGGAAUUCCCGGUGUAGCAGUGAAAUGCGUAGAUAUCGGGAGGAACACCAGUGGCGAAGGCGGCCUUCUGGACCAGUACUGACGCUCAUGCACGAAAGCGUGGGGAGCAAACAGG
rnacentral:rRNA from 1 species